rnacentral:rRNA from 1 species
AGAGUUUGAUCCUGGCUCAGAUUGAACGCUGGCGGCAUGCCUUACACAUGCAAGUCGAACGGCAGCACGGGAGCAAUCCUGGUGGCGAGUGGCGAACGGGUGAGUAAUAUAUCGGAACGUGCCCAGUCGUGGGGGAUAACGCAGCGAAAGCUGUGCUAAUACCGCAUACGAUCUCUGGAUGAAAGCGGGGGACUCGCAAG